UCUACGGUGGGGGACACAGUGGGACCAACGUUCGUGUAGCAGUGCUACUCGUGCAGCAGCAGAGCGUUUGAGUGGAAGAAUGUGUGCACUAUGCUGUCAUUCGUCGUCGGCCCCGAGAUGCUCCGCGAUGGCACCAUCAAGUUCAGGGACAGCCAUGGGGCAUUUUGCUGCUCGUCUUCCUCUGUUUUGUGGUUUUUGUUUUUUGCGUUUCUGUUGAUUUAUGUAUAUUUUUAAGCGGAACUUAGUCAUAUUCCUACACUAGACUGAAGAUGCAGAAGUUAGAAGUUACAUGGAUACUAGAACCAAGGAGGAACAGUUAGAUACCUAGGCAAGUACGAGGAUAUUCUUUCUUACAUCGCCCAUCUUAUUUAGAAAUAUACUAGAAACUGAUUACACAAUCUUCAACUUUGCAGUGUCUAUUUUUCUCUUUGAAACAACACGGACUACUAUUGAAAAAGUUGCUUGCCAAUUAGGACCAUAAUCUUAUACUUGAAAUACUGAACCAUCUCCCUGGAGAAAAUUUAUUUGCUUGUCAUAUAUAUUGGCAGUACGAACGUGCAUCAAAUUCUCAGUAUCCGGAUUAACUUAGAAGGUUCAUAUUAAAAAAAACAUUUUAGGCUAGAGACCUUUGUUUGAGUAAUGAUGUUCUGAUGACUGGCAGCUCAGCUACUGCAUGAUUGUAACAGCAGAACUUAAAAUUUACUUCUCUGGUCCACCCAGGGUAUUAGCUGAGGCGACGGCUUGUCUAGGCAUAUUUGAUUUCAGUAUAUAUACAUUUGAAAUAAUGAUUCGUGGACUUCUAAGUUAGCAAUCCAUAUUAUAUAUGAAUAUGCAGGUUAAUUACAAAAUUUACCAAUCCGUACUAUGAAUCUGCAGGUUAAUUACAAAAUGUAUAUAUACUAAAUUGGAUUAUUAAUAGCAAUCCUAAAUAUUUUUAUUCUCUACCAUAUGCUUUCAUCUUUUUUCCCCACCUUAUUUGUACAAGAGAACACUUACGGGAGUACUGCAGGGGGCUAAUUUUUUUCAUCGGAGGAGAGGACUACAUAAUGAUAGCUAGCUGCACUCUUAUAAAAGUAAGAUGGUAAGAUUUAUAACCUAUCAACAUAUAAUAUAUUUGGCUCUAGCAUUUGAAAUUCUUCCUUUUUUUUAUAUCUCGUACCAUACUAUACUGUAACUGAAACUUAUGACAAACUAACAUAAUGCUUGCACAUAUUGCCCAUUCAGUUUCACAAAGCAUUUUAAAUCUGCUUUUUUUUGGCAUAUCUUCCUAGUACUACCGCUAAAUGUAGAAAUUAUACAUCAGUCAUGCCUUCUUUUCUAUUGUUUUCGAGCAUAUAAUGCCUCUAAAAAUGGAUAAGAGCCAAUGCAUCUUUAAUUCGUAAAUUUUGGAAUAUCGAUUAUUUUCUCCUUAAUGUCUUAUGUUUGCAACUCAGCAUACAACAUAGCUUUAUAUUUUAAUAGGUUAACGAUGUGACACCAAGCUAUCUAUGAAGUUCUAUGUUUGUUUUUCUUUUUGCAAUAAUCACACAAUGCAUCUAGUCUUCAUAACUGCAACCUAGAUCAUCUGGAAGGAAAGAAAUCACAAGAUAUUUUGGAAUAUUGACCCAUCAUUUGAUUCUCGGAAAACUAUAAGCUAGAUUAUUCCCUUCUGCUACAUAGAGCCAAGGCUGAUCUAGGGCCAGCUAUAUUCUCUGUUGUAAAUUCAGUAAACUAGCUAACCUUUUUUUUGUUUUUAUUCUUCGCCUAACUCUUCCUUUGGCUUACCACCUCUCAGCAUUCAUUCUUCAUUGGUUAUAUGGUGCUGGGUUUGAGGGUGGCAGCCUCGGCUGGACAACAGAUGUAAGGUAAGUAACUUGUGAGCCUUUAUGUGUUUGUAUGACCUUCCCUACUGACUUUUGAUUAAAAAAACCACAAUUCACAUUGUAUCAAGACACUAAUUCACUAUACAAGGUGGAGAAAUGCUGAUGGCUUAGAACAUGCCGCUCAAUAGAUGUAGUGGAAUUGAUUAUCGCAUGAACUCUGUACAUUGCUCCUCCAAAUUUUAUUUCUCUAUUAAUCCGAUUUUCUCUAAUGUAAGUUACUUAUCUCAUUUCUUUGCUGUUGCAGAUUGCGAAGAUAAACUAAUAUGCAUGGCUCGGGUGUGGAUUGCAAGGUCGAGAAUGAAGCUACUACUAGAUAGUUCCACAUGAUGUUUUAGAAUUUUUUUUGCAAGAUCAAUGCUUCAAACAUUAUGUUUUUACAAUGGCUGAGAUGUUAAUUGCAAGGUCGAGAAUUAGGUUGCUGCUACUAGAUAGUUCACAUCUUGUAAUCUUUGGAGUGCGUUCUUUGUAAUGCAACAGUCAAAUUAAUAAAUGAGACUUUUUUUGCUUAUUAUAUUGUGGUUCUUAUAUGUGCUUUAUCAGCAUUGACAUGGUAACUCUAGAUGGCAAUAUUUGAAGUACCAUUAAUUUUCAU
rnacentral:lncRNA from 1 species